UGUCAGAAGUGGGAUUCGAACCUACGUCUACAUUCGUGACCAGAACUCUCAACACUCUGCUUAGACAGGAGAGCAAGGGAACCUUUUGAGUUCGGCGCCUAGACCGCUCGGCCAUCCUGAC